GUUGUUUUUGAUGGACAUCGUGGUAUUUCUUAUGUUAGUAGCACUCCGUUGGCUAUUAAGAAUUAAAUUAAGCUAUAGCUCCACAUAAGCUUUCAUCAUUGUUAUCAAAUAUAACAGAUUUUACAUCUGGGAACUGUAAACGCAGAAUAAAUAAUACCCCCUUUACUCCCUAAUCCAUCUAGAGUAUUGAUUGAUUGAUCCGUGCUGUCGUUGACGUGGUUCUUCAGUAAGACCUCUGGCAGUUGCAGUGUUUAUGAACCCGAGUGAAGACUGGGAUUGUGCUCUGAACCUUUUCGCCCGGAAGACCCACUCCAGAUAAGUGUCAACUACACUGAAGACAAACACCCAGGGACUUGCCCUGAGGAGCAGUGUAAAUUAAGACCAUCAAACCCAACCCUACAGUUAUCGAAGGUAAGUGCUUUGCUCAGCCCUGUGCUUACUGUUUGUUAGUCUGCUGUUAUGGGAAGGGCCGAGCAAAUCCCAAGCAAAAAAUGAGCCUUUAAAAGAAAAGCAGUUUAAUGAAACACCUACAUCUGUGUUAGUGGUAAACAAGUCCAGGCUGGAUGUUCCAAACUAGAACAUCUUUGAAGCUGUAAUGAGGGGGGAAAGAAAGUGCGUUAAAGUACAAAUCCAGGAGUUGACCAGUCAGGGCAAAUAAGUUUUUAUAUUUAAUAAAAUCUUUUAAGUUGUGGAUCUUACACAUUCCGCAUACUUUUUCCAGCCUUUUGAGAGCGUGACUUUCCCUGUGACAUCCCCUAAAUAUCAUUCUGUUACCUGGCAUGAGUUUCUUUUUUUAUCUUAGAGAUAAAAGAAACAUUGAGAGAAGGAGAGUGUGAGGUGGCGGGGACAGACAGUGCACUCUUCUCCGGCUUGGUGAGUUUGAGGUUAGUUUAAAAGACAUUUUUUCAGCUUGGUGGAAGCUGGUCUGAGCAGUGGUGAAGGCAGGGC
rnacentral:lncRNA from 1 species